ensembl:lncRNA
GUGAGACCCUGUCUCAAAACAAUCACCACCACCACCACCAAACUAAUGGAGUUAAUUGUAUCUUUGUAUCCUAAAAUUACUGUGCCAACCUUAGUUGGAGAAGAGUGAUAUGAGCCCAGGUCAUUAAAACUGCCAGAAAAAAGUGAAAGACAAUGCCAACUUGAAUCUGUAAAAAGUUCUGCCAUUUACACUCACUCUCACAUGCAUGAUUCCAUAUGACCCUCAACAACUUGGGGGCAGCAUUUCCUCCAACACGCCUUCCUGACUGCCCCUGCUUUGGCUACCUUAAGUCCCACUCCAUCUACUCCUGUGGAAUUCAACACAGGACACUGUAACCACUUGCUACCUAUCUGGCUUGGUCAUAAGAUGGCAGAUUCCUUAAUGGCAGGAACCGCUGUAUGGUCUGUAGGUAUCCCACAGGGCAUGCUUAGCACAGAGUUUAGCUAAUCGCAGGCAUUCAAUACAUACUUGAGGAAUGGCUGAUUCCCAUUUCAAAAGGAAGAAAACCAAGACUCAAAGGAUGAUUUGUCCACUGCUAAUGGCCAGAAAGCAGCACAGCUAAGACCUGAGCACAGUCCCCUGCAUUCCUAGGGCAGAGCUUGUCCCACACACUUUCACCACAUGCACAGGAAAGCUCCGAGAGAAGCCUACACACAGCACACUUGUACUCGGCACUCUGAGCUCCCCAGAUCCCUAUCAACUCGCUCAUGGAUGACCUCUAACCACACAAUCGCAAUGAUUCUCACUAUGGUGUGUGGGGUAGGUACAAACAGACCUUUUCUGUUUGUAUUUUUUUUAAGCUGGUAUUCUUCGGCUGUAGGGGACAGAGUGUAAGCUUGGAGCCCAACGCAAUCCUGACUACCCCUUAUUGUAUAACCUUGGCAAGUGACUUAACCUUUCUGAGCCAAUUUUCUGAUCUAGAAAACAGAGAUAAGAUACACCUCUAUGGAGUGUUGUGAAGAAUAAAUAAUAUAACUUGUAUUGGCUGCCUUGUAUAAUCUCUGACAUUAUAUGUGCUCAAUAAGUACUGUUGCUUAUUAUUUUUACCACGUAAGAAAAAAAGAAGAAAACCCAAACUACUAGCAAAAGGGUCUUGUUUUACUACUGCACUUAACAAUUACAUUUGAAUAUGCAUGCCCAUGAGACAGACAUGUAUAUUCAUAUUUAAUUCUUAUUUCUAGAAAACUCCAGACAGGCAUACCUCCAGACAAGCACACACCCAUCAUAAGAAGUAUUCAGGAGCAGACCAGCAAAAGGAUCUCCUUUCAAGAGCCUGGUUUGGGCCAGGCACGGUAGCUCACGCCUGUAAUCCCAGCACUUUGGGAGGCCAAGGUGGGCAGAUCGCUGGAGCUCAGGAGUUCAAGACCAGCCUGACCGAUAUGGUGAAACUCCAUCUCUACUAAAAAAUACAAAAAUUAGCUGGGCGUAGUGGUGUGUGCCUGUAAUCCCAGCUACUCAGGAGGCUGAGGCAGGAGAAUCUCUUGAACCUAGGAGGUGGAGGUUGCAGUGAGCCGAGAUUGUGCCACUGCACUCCAGCCUGGGCGAUAGAGCGAGACUCUGUCUCAAAAAAAAAAAAAGAAAAAAAAAA